rnacentral:rRNA from 1 species
GGAUUAGGCAUGCAAGUCGAACGGGAAACCCUUCGGGGUUUCUAGUGGCGAAAGGGUGAGUAACACGUGAGCAACCUGCCCCCAAGUCCGGAAUAAGCGGUGGAAACGCCGUCUAAUGCCGGAUGUCGAACAGCCCCCGCCUGGUGGCUUUUCGAAAGAUUUAUCGCUUGGGGAUGGGCUCGCGCCCCAUUAGCUGGUUGGCGGGGUAAUGGCCCACCAAGGCUACGACGGGUAGGUGGACUGAGAGGUCGGUCACCCACACUGGGACUGAGACACUGCCCAGACUCCUACGGAAGGCUGCAGUCGAGAAUCUUCCGCAAUGGGCGAAAGCCUGACGGAGCAAUGCCGCGUGAGGGAAGAAUGCCUUCGGGUUGUAAACCUCUGUCACCCGGGACGAAAUUUGACGGUACCGGGAGAGGAAGUCACGGCUAACUACGUGCCAGCAGCCGCGGUAACACGUAGGUGGCAAGCGUUAUUCGGAUUUACUGGGCGUAAAGGGUCCGCAGGGGGCCUGACAAGUCUGUCGUGAAAGGCCAAGGCUCAACCUUGGCACUGCGGUGGAAACAGUCGGGCUAGAGUCAGUGAGGGGCAGACGGAACACCUGGUGUAGCGGUGGAAUGCGUAGAUAUCAGGUGGAACACCUAUGGCGAAGGCGGUCUGCUGGCACAUGACUGACCCUCAGGGACGAAAGCGUGGGUAGCAAACAGGAUUAGAUACCCUGGUAGUCCACGCCGUAAACUUUGUGAACUAGAUGUGCCCGGGCUGGCCCCGGGCGUGUCCAAGCUAACGCGAUAAGUUCACCGCCUGGGGACUACGGCCGCAAGGCUAAAACUCAAAGGAAUUGACGG